UACGGGGGGGGCUAGCGUUGUUCGGAAUUACUGGGCGUAAAGGGCGCGUAGGCGGCCUACUAAGUCGGACGUGAAAUCCCUCGGCUCAACCGGGGAACUGCGUCCGAUACUGGUGGGCUCGAAUCCGGGAGAGGGAUGUGGAAUUCCAGGUGUAGCGGUGAAAUGCGUAGAUAUCUGGAGGAACACCGGUGGCGAAGCAGGCAUCCUGGACCGAAACGGCCACGAAGGAGCGAGAGCCAGUGGAGCAAACGGG
rnacentral:rRNA from 1 species